UUGGAGUGUUAUCAUUUUAUUUGCUACAAUUUUGUACGCUACCUUCUACAGCAGUACCCAGGAUGUACAGUGGAGCGCUUCCAUACCCAGCCUGGUGCCAUUUAACUCACUCCGGCCAUCUUUCUUCAUCUACGAUCAUUGCAGACGUACACAGAGUCCCUUGGCGUCGCUCCACUUCAGCCAGUAGAAUUGGGAAAUCAAACAAGAACCCAUUGUGAGCUACAAGAACUGGGAAAGAUAGUGAGGAUUCGUGGUCACAUCACUAACGUAUGUGGUGACAGCAGUAACCCAGUCCAGGAACAGAGGGAGGACAACUGACAGCGGCUUCUCACCA